UAGGGAAUCUUCCACAAUGGACGCAAGUCUGAUGGAGCAACGCCGCGUGAGUGAAGAAGGUUUUCGGACCGUAAAGCUCUGUUGUUGGUGAAGAAGGAUAGAGGUAGUAACUGGCCUUUAUUUGACGGUAAUCAACCAGAAAGUCACGGCUAACUACGUGCCAGCAGCCGCGGUAAUACGUAGGUGGCAAGCGUUGUCCGGAUUUAUUGGGCGUAAAGCGAGCGCAGGCGGAAGAAUAAGUCUGAUGUGAAAGCCCUCGGCUUAACCGAGGAAUUGCAUCGGAAACUGUUUUCUUGAGUGCAGAAGAGGAGAGUAGAACUCCAUGUGUAGCGGUGGAAUGCGUAGAUAUAUGGAAGAAUACCAGUGGCGAAGGCGGCUCUCUGGUCUGCAAACUGACGCUGAGGCUCGAAAGCAUGGGUAGCGAACAGGAUU
rnacentral:rRNA from 1 species